AGCAGCCGCGGUAAUUCCAGCUCCAAUAGCGUAUAUUAAAGUUGUUGCAGUUAAAAAGCUCGUAGUUGAAUUUCGGGAUCAGCGCGUCGGUCGUGCCUCCGGUAUGCACUGGCGCCGCUGGUUUCUCCCUUCUGAGGAACCGUGAUGUCAUUAAUUUGGUGUUGCGGGAAAUCAGGACUGUUACUUUGAAAAAAUUAGAGUGUUUAAAGCAGGCUCGCGCUUGAAUACAUUAGCAUGGAAUAAUGAAAUAGGACGUUCGAUCCUAUUUUGUUGGUUUCUAGGAUUGACGUAAUGAUUAAUAGGGAUAGUUGGGGGCAUUAGUAUUCAAUUGUCAGAGGUGAAAUUCUUGGAUUUAU
rnacentral:rRNA from 1 species